ACACAAACAUUGUUGAGACAAACAUAGUUAAUUAACGUAAAAAAAUGUCUUCUAUUUAACGGCUUAAGCUUUUAGAAAAGAUGAUCACAUACUUUAAUAUGGUACUAGAGUAGGUAGAAGUCACACAUUCAAAUCUUGCGGGUGAAAAGCGUGUAGAAACAUAAUAUAAUUAAGUAAUAAAAAAAAUAAUAGCUGUAAUUUUACUAACAGCUUAACUUUGUAGAUGGGAUGGCAAAUGUUUUUUUUGUCCAAGAAUAAAAGCAUUAAGAAAUUGUCUCACAAAAUAAUGGAAAUUACAAAAGAAAAGAAAAAAAUUGAUGAAGUCCAGUAACACAUAAAAAUAAGUAAUUAUUAACUAGCUACGUAUUAUCUUAUUGCCGAGUGCCGACACACGAGUUAUGUUGAAGAUGAAUCAAGGUUAUCAUCACGUCCAUUUAAAUUGAUGUCCUACUUUCCAAAAAUAUGCUGAGCGACAAAGAAAAAAGCUGAGCGACAAAGAAAAAAGACGACACCGAUAAUUAUUUUGCAAGUAUUUCUUGAGAAGAGGAUUGAUGGAGUACUUAUUUUAAUUUGUAAUUAAGACUAAUCUUUCUUUUUUUUAUAAUUUUUUUAUUUUUUUAUUAUUACAUAGAGGGUAGGGAAAGAGAAAAUGAGGAAGGGAUUACAACGUGGGGGAUUCGAACCCUGACCAACAAGGGCUACUAAGAUCCCUAAAAUUAAUUAAGACUAAUCAACCCCACCAUGGGCCCUCUCUUUUUCAUUAACUACUCUCAAGUAGGGUAUUUAACAAAAAUAUAUAAUUAUCGUUUAACUUUUUCUACCCUACCACGAAUUAACAAACUUAAUGUGUACCGUGACCCUCUUAAAUAAUUGUUACAAACCAUCCACGCACAU